rnacentral:lncRNA from 1 species
GACUCAUUGUAAACCUACUAGGGUGCGUAUCUUCAGAAAGAACAAGAGUUUAUAAUUGCUCAUUAGAUCAUGUAUUUUCCUUAUUUCGCUAAAUUUCAACAUUAACACAUUUUUAAAAACAAACUAAAUAAAAAGAUUGUAUUUGACUUAUGUUACAUACCUACAAUUUAAUGAAUUUAUUAGUAAUGACUUAGAGUAAUAUGAUAGAUAUGCAAUUAAUGGUUAUAUUAUAUUAAAAUGAAUGUUCAGUUUCUAGAACCAAUUGAAAAUAUUUAUUAUAUCUGAAAUUACUCAGCAUCUCCCUAUUCAAAUACCA